UGAGCAAUCUGCCCUUCACAUCGGAAUAACCAUUGGAAACGAUGGCUAAUACCGAAUAUGACUUCGGAUCGCAUGAUCUGAAGUGGAAAGCUCCGGCGGUGAAGGAUGAGCUCGCGGCCUAUCAGCUUGUUGGUGAGGUAACGGCUCACCAAGGCGACGACGGGUAGCUGGUCUGAGAGGAUGGCCAGCCACAUUGGGACUGAGACACCGGCA
rnacentral:rRNA from 1 species